AUUGAACGCUGGCGGAAUGCUUUACACAUGCAAGUCGAACGGCAGCACGGGGCAACCUGGUGGCGAGUGGCGAACGGGUGAGUAAUACAUCGGAACGUGCCCAAUCGUGGGGGAUAACGCAGCGAAAGUUACGCUAAUACCGCAUACGAUCUACGGAUGAAAGCGGGGGAUCGCAAGACCUCGCGCGAAUGGAGCGGCCGAUGUCAGAUUAGGUAGUUGGUGGGGUAAAGGCUCACCAAGCCGACGAUCUGUAGCUGGUCUGAGAGGACGACCAGCCACACUGGGACUGAGACACGGCCCAGACUCCUACGGGAGGCAGCAGUGGGGAAUUUUGGACAAUGGGCGCAAGCCUGAUCCAGCCAUUCCGCGUGCAGGAUGAAGGCCUCGGUU
rnacentral:rRNA from 1 species